AUGAGAUCAUCAAGGCCAGCAAAGAGUUCGGCUUCUUCCAGGCACGCACGCACGCACCACCGCAAUUGUUUGUUUAUCGAUCCGCGCCACUCAGCUAUUGAUUUUGGACUCGGUACUCCAUGGAUGUGCUGCAAACAGGUUGUGAACCAUGGCGUGGGCGACGAGGUGGUCGGGGCGUUUCGGUCCGCGGCGGCGGAGUUCUUCGCCAUGCCGGCGGAGGAGAAGCUCCCCUACUACUCCGACGACCUCACCAAACCGUUCCGCGUCGACACCAGCACCACCUACGUCCUCGACCGUAGCGGCGGCGGUCGGUACUGGCGCGACUACAUUCAGCUGCAGUGCUUCCCCGUCGACAGGUUCUCGCAGGACUGGCCGGCCGAGCCAGCCGCCUUCGUGCCCAGCCUGGCCGCGUACGCCACAGCGGUGCGGACGCUGGCCGCCACGUUGCUCGGGCUCAUCGCCGAGGGGCUCGGGCUGGAGGAGAGCUUCUUCCGCGGCGAGCUCAGCGGCGGCUGGACGCUGAUGAACGUGAACUGGUACCCGCCGUGCCCGGACCCGAGCCUGACGCUGGGCCUGCUGCCGCACUGCGACCGACCACUCCUGACCGUGCUGUCGCAGGGCGACGUCAGCGGCCUCCAGGCCAAGCACAAGGGCCGGUGGAUCGCCGUGCAGCCCGUCCCAAACGCUUUCGUCAUAAACUUCGGCCACCUGAUGGAGAUCGUGACGAACGGGUUGCUUCAGAGCGUAGAGCACCGCGCAGUGACCAACUCCAGUGCGGCGAGGUUGUCGGUGGUGACCAUCAUGUUGCCGGACAUGGACUGCCGCAUCGAGCCCGCGCCGGCGCUGGUGACCGAGGGGGGGCAGGCCAAGUUCAGACCGUUCCUCUUCCGGGAGUUCAACGAGGCGUACGCCGCCGCCGCAGCCAACCGGGAGGACGUGCUCCAGCGCUUUAGGAUCUACCCUGCGGGUACAAUGGAGUGA
rnacentral:rRNA from 1 species